rnacentral:rRNA from 1 species
AUUCCAGCUCCAAUAGCGUAUAUUAAAGUUGUUGCGGUUAAAAAGCUCGUAGUUGGAUUUCUGCCGAGGAUGACCGGUCCGCCCUGUGGGUGUGCAUCUGGCUCAGCCUUGGCAUCUUCCUGAAGAACGUAGCUGCACUUGACUGUGUGGUGCGGUAUUUAGGACAUUUACUUUGAGGAAAUUAGAGUGUUUCAAGCAAGCGCACGCUUUGAAUACAUUAGCAUGGAAUAAUAAGAUAGGAUCUUGAUACUAUUUUGUUGGUUUGCGUGUCGAGACAAUGAUGAAUAGGGACAGUUGGGGGUAUUUGUAUUCCAUAGUCAGAGGUGAAAUUCUUGGAUUUAUGGAAGACAAACUAAUGCGAAAGCAUCUACCAAGGAUGUUUUCAUUA